rnacentral:lncRNA from 1 species
AAGGCAAUAAAAUCUAGGCAUUUUUCUUUUGUUAUGUCAGAUAAAAAUCUAUACUUCAUAGUAUCAGCAAAAUUGUUACAAUUCUAAAAUAUUCCUUUCAUCUAGACUACUUUUUAUUAUUUUUUUCCUAUUCUUAGAGUGUGCCUUUUUUUUUGUGAUACAGAGGUAUGUAGACACAACGAGUCACAGCCCACAUCUGCUAGGCCUUCAGAAAUUUCCGAGCAUAUCAAAUUCAAAGUUUGUAACUCCAGAACAAACUGAAGAGGCAACAUCCAAAACACAAUUAUUACCGGCAGCUUGCUGGUCAACCUUUUUCAUUCUAAGAAAUUCUAAAUCUCUAAAAGUAUUUAUAAAGUGCGACAUUUCUUGCUCAUUAUUACUG